rnacentral:rRNA from 1 species
GACAGAGGAUGCAAGCGUUAUCCGGAAUGAUUGGGCGUAAAGCGUCUGUAGGUGGCUUUUAAGUCUGCCGUCAAAUCCCAGGGCUUAACCUUGGAACUGCAUUUGUGACUGCAUAGCUAGAGUACGGUAGAGGGGAUGGAAUUCCGCGUGUAGCAGUGAAAUGCGUAGAUAUGCGGAGGAACACCGAUGGCGAAGGCAAUCCCCUGGACCUGUACUGACGCUCAUGCACGAAAGCGUGGGGAGCAAACAGG